rnacentral:rRNA from 1 species
GGUUACGCGAGAGAGUAGACCGACGUACGACGACGACGGACUUAACACAGUGACAAGUCGAGGGGCAGGCGGGAUGAAGCUUGCUUCAUCCGCCGGCGACCGGCGCACGGGUGAGUAACACGUUAUGCAACCUGCCCCUGGCUGGGGAUAAGCCGGAGAAAUCCGGUCUAAUACCGCGUAACAUCCUUACGGGACAUCCCCGUUAGGAUCAAAGGAAGCGAUUCCGGCCAGGGAUGGGCAUGCGGCGCAUUAGCUAGUCGGCGGGGUAGCGGCCCACCGAGGCGACGAUGCGUAGGGGUUCUGAGAGGAAGGUCCCCCACACUGGUACUGAGACACGGACCAGACUUCUACGGGAGGCAGCAGUGAGGAAUAUUGGUCAAUGGGCGCGAGCCUGAACCAGCCAAGUCGCGUGAGGGAAGACGGUCCUAUGGAUUGUAAACCUCUUUUGCCGGGGAGCAAGCUGAGUCACGUGUGGCUCAGCUGAGAGUACCCGGAGAAAAAGCAUCGGCUAACUCCGUG